UAAACCUACAUUUGCCAUUAAACUGUCCCAUAUUAAGAAUUUAAGUUGUCUCAUAUAUUUUAAACGUGUUUUACCAGAAAGAUUAAAAGUGGGUUACCUCAUGCACUGGUUAGCAUCAUAAAAUAACCGUAUCCUGAGACCAAUUAUUAACUCACUAAAUUAUAAAAUCUGAUAAACUAAUCGUACAAAAGAUAAUACAAUACAUUUUAAAGUGAUAGGCAAGUCUACAUCUACAUAAUAAUUUGUAUUUUUUAAAUAACACAUUCAUAGCAUAACAAU